UACGGAGGGAGCUAGCGUUGUUCGGAAUUACUGGGCGUAAAGCGCACGUAGGCGGCUUUGUAAGUUAGAGGUGAAAGCCCGGGGCUCAACUCCGGAACUGCCUUUAAGACCGCAUCGCUUGAAUCCGGGAGAGGUGAGUGGAAUUCCGAGUGUAGAGGUGAAAUUCGUAGAUAUUCGGAAGAACACCAGUGGCGAAGGCGGCUCACUGGACCGGUAUUGACGCUGAGGUGCGAAAGCGUGGGGAGCAAACAGG
rnacentral:rRNA from 1 species